GAGGGUGUAGGUCAGAGGUAGAGCAUGUGCUUAGCAUGCACAAGGUCCUGGGUUCAAUCCCCAGUACCUCUA
rnacentral:tRNA from 1 species